UCGCCAGGGAGAAGCCGAAGAGGCUUCCGGAGUCCCCGCUCCACAUGACCACGUUGCCCGUGUCCAGGUUGAAGGCGAGGACGAGCCCCGGCAGGAGGGACAGGUGUUGCCCUGGUGCCUCCGUAAACAACCACCUAAAGUACGAAUGACAAGACACAUCCUCCCCACAGCUCUCUGGUUAUAUGUGUACUUAAGGCCGACUCCGUUGCAAUUGGUAUAUUUGCCGGAGGACAGGUUGAUGUGUUCUACCUACAGCAAAUACCUUGGCCGCAUCCGAUGUGGAGCUGCUCCUCAACUUUCUAGCUGCAAAAGGAACAGCGCACUGACAACUGGACUCGUCUCCCUCCAAAGUAGAACCGCCAAAGGACUGAGUCAGCAGCACAGAGAGUGUUUUUUUGGUAAACGAAGGCCUGAGCUAUUUGCCCCGGACAAUGGCUUCAUUUCCCCAUGUGUAUACUUCAAAUAAUCUAAAGUGAGAAGUGGCUGUUGAGUGAAAACAGAAAAAGUACUGUUUGAUGUUCACCCAUUCACUUAUAUCUUACCACAAACAUUGCUUGUUUUGGUGAAACACGCAAACAAAGAAUCGGGGCCUCUUCGCUGUGUUCCUCCAACUUGUGCAGAAGACCUUCAGCCAAAUUGUUGGCCCACACCCUGACUUGGAGGAGAUGCGGUUGCUGACAAUCUAACCCUCCCGAAUUCUUCAUUACCUGCCAUGCUGCAUCACCAUUUAUUUGACUGUCUUCCCAACCCUGGUCUCCAUGAAACUGAGAAUUGUGGGUGGGUGGGUGGGAGUGGAAUCCUUGUAAAUAUCACAGAAACCUCUCUUUGAUCUUAAAUGAAUGUUUUAAUUGAAAUAUUGAGAGGGACACAACCCAGUUGUGCUCCAGGAAGAUACCUCUGUACAGGAAGGGGGGAAUGUUUCUGUUAUGUACUGAAGUUCUCACCCUGGGCCAGCAGGGGGAUACUGUAGAUAGUUAUGCAAAUAAGGGAUCGAAAGUGACGU